GCCCGUUGCUCUGAUGAU
rnacentral:siRNA from 1 species